rnacentral:rRNA from 1 species
AGCGUAGGCGGUCAAGCAAGUCAGGGGUGAAAGGCAUCGGCUCAACCGAUGUAAGCCUUUGAAACUGUUUGACUUGAGUGCAGGAGAGGAAAGUGGAAUUCCUAGUGUAGCGGUGAAAUGCGUAGAUACUAGGAGGAACACCAGUGGCGAAGGCGACUUUCUGGACUGUAACUGACGCUGAGGCUCGAAAGCGUGGGGAGCGAACA